AUUGAACGCUGGCGGCAGGCCUAACACAUGCAAGUCGAACGGUAACAGGAAGCAGCUUGCUGCUUUGCUGACGAGUGGCGGACGGGUGAGUAAUGUCUGGGAAACUGCCUGAUGGAGGGGGAUAACUACUGGAAACGGUAGCUAAUACCGCAUACCGUCGCAAGACCAAAGAGGGGGACCUUCGGGCCUCUUGCCAUCGGAUGUGCCCAGAUGGGAUUAGCUAGUAGGUGGGGUAACGGCUCACCUAGGCGACGAUCCCUAGCUGGUCUGAGAGGAUGACCAGCCACACUGGAACUGAGACACGGUCCAGACUCCUACGGGAGGCAGCAGUGGGGAAUAUUGCACAAUGGGCGCAAGCCUGAUGCAGCCAUGCCGCGUGUAUGAAGAAGGCCUUCGGGUUGUAAAGUACUUUCAGCGGGGAGGAAGGGAGUAAAGUUAAUACCUUUGCUCAUUGACGUUACCCGCAGAAGAAGCACCGGCUAACUCCGUG
rnacentral:rRNA from 1 species